GCCGGGGUAGCUCAGUCGGCAGAGCGGCUCACUCGUAAUGAGCAGGUCAGGGGUUCGACUCCCCUCCCCGGCU
rnacentral:tRNA from 2 species